rnacentral:tRNA from 1 species
GGUGUGUUAGCUUAAUUGGUUAAGCAUUGUGCUACGGCCACAAUGAUUACAAGUUCGAGUCUUGUACACUCCU